rnacentral:sRNA from 1 species
CUUUAGCCCUGAUAGAAGCGAAAAUCCUUGUGAACCGUUUCGUCCCAAAGGCGAGACGGUUCACAAGGAUUGCAACGGAUAGCAGGAAUCCAU